AUUGAACGCUGGCGGCAGGCCUAACACAUGCAAGUCGAACGAGUGGCGGACGGGUGAGUAAUGUCUGGGAAACUGCCUGAUGGAGGGGGAUAACUACUGUAAACGGUAGCUAAUACCGCAUACCAUCGGAUGUGCCCAGAUGGGCUUAGCUUGUGGGUGGGGUAAAGGCUCACCUAGGCGACGAUCCCUAGCUGGUCUGAGAGGAUGACCAGCCACACUGGAACUGAGACACGGUCCAGACUCCUACGGGAGGCAGCAGUGGGGAAUAUUGCACAAUGGGCGCAAGCCUGAUGCAGCCAGGCCGCGUGUAUGAAGGAGGCCUUCGGGUUGGAAAGUACUUUCAGCGGGGAGGAGUUACCCGCAGAAGAAGCACCGGCUAACUCCGUGCCAGCCGCCGCGGUAAGAC
rnacentral:rRNA from 1 species